ensembl:lncRNA
CAUCCUGCUUCCGAGUGGCAUGCUCACUCGGUUAUUUAACAAAUUACUCCACAGUCCUUGUUAGGACUAUUGACAUUUACAGCUAACCAGCCCCUACAGUUAGGGGCGAUGUGGUGACUGACUUGCACAGUCUUCCUUCCUUUUAUUUCAGUCCUGCGAUGGGGAAACAGGUGUCAAACAAUGAGAUCCUGGAAGCUCCCCUGCUGUGGCAGACAUCAUGAAGCUACAGACUGCUGAGUUAUGGAGAAAUGUGGCAGGACGGUGGCGUACAAUGGGAGAACUCAGGACAGUGACUGCACCCAUGAUAAAAAUAGCCGUGUGGAUAAGAAGUACACAUGAUGAACUGGUGCCAUGACACUUCUGAUCUAAGCGAAGGAGCCCAGGUGUGUUUGGGAGCAGCAAAGGGAAGGUGGGAAGAUAUGCUCAAAUCAUAGAUGUUGCCUGCUGCAGUUUUAAUCCAGACUGCCUGGGACUCAAACCUGCACUUAUCUUUCUGGUCAACCGUUAAAAGGGAUGAAGCAAAAGCCAUGCCCAGCAAGAAACUCCUGCAGCUGGCAGAAAUGAAAAGCAAAGAUCCUCCUUCACAGGUCACAUCUAACCGACACAACACAGAUAAUGCUGAGCUGAGAGAGAAAAGGCCGACUCGUAAGCAGCUGAAAUUACAGCUAAAUCACCAAGUACAGAUGCCACUAAAAUCUCAGCCCCACAACCUCAGGGCAGCACAGGAAGGGCAGAGUUCAUAUGCAAGAAGUCCAGAACAAUGCA